UGAGGAAUAUUGGUCAAUGGGCGGGAGCCUGAACCAGCCAAGUCGCGUGAGGGAAGACGGUCCUAUGGAUUGUAAACCUCUUUUGUCGGGGAGCAAAGAGGCCACGUGUGGUCAAAAGCGAGAGUACCCGAAGAAAAGACAUCGGCUACUCCGUGCCAGCAGCCGCGGUAAUACGGAGGAUGCGAGCGUUAUCCGGAUUUAUUGGGUUUAAAGGGUGCGUAGGCGGGACGGUAAGUCAGCGGUAAAAAUGCGGAGCUCAACUCCGUCGAGCCGUUGAAACUGCCGUUCUUGAGUGAGCGAGAAGUAUGCGGAAUGCGUGGUGUAGCGGUGAAAUGCAUAGAUAUCACGCAGAACUCCGAUUGCGAAGGCAGCAUACCGGCGCUCAACUGACGCUGAAGCACGAAGGCGUGGGUAUCGAACAGGAUUAGAUACC
rnacentral:rRNA from 1 species